GACGUAGGGUGCGAGCGUUGUCCGGAAUUAUUGGGCGUAAAGGGCUCGUAGGCGGUUUGUCGCGUCGGGAGUGAAAACCAGGUGCUUAACACCUGGCUUGCUUUCGAUACGGGCAGACUAGAGGUAUUCAGGGGAGAACGGAAUUCCUGGUGUAGCGGUGAAAUGCGCAGAUAUCAGGAGGAACACCAAUGGCGAAGGCAGCACUCUGGGACGUGACUGACGCUGAGACGCGAAAGCGUGGGGAGCAAACAGG
rnacentral:rRNA from 1 species